UGGGUAACCUACCUUUCACUGGGGGACAACCGAGGGAAACUUCGGCUAAUACCACAUGAUGUGCGGCUUCAUGAGGAGCCGUACCAAAACUCCGGUGGUGAAAGAUGGGCCCGCGGCGGAUUAGCUUGUUGGUGGGGUAAUGGCCUACCAAGGCGACGAUCCGUAGCUGGUCUGAGAGGACGACCAGCCACACUGGAACUGAGAUACGGUCCAGACUCCUACGGGAGGCAG
rnacentral:rRNA from 1 species